GGAAUAUCCUGAUACGUGAGCAUUUUAUAACUACUGCUUGUUGCUUGGUGGCAGCUGUAAAGCAGGGCUCACUGAAUUAGCUAUGAUGUACUACUCCAGGGUGAUGUUAAUUAUUCUACAGUGUAACAUUGAUAUCAGAGUAAACUGAAAAGAGCAGCACUGAAAGUGUG
rnacentral:lncRNA from 12 species